rnacentral:ncRNA from 2 species
UUAAUUCCAUAGGGAACAGGUGCCCAAUUGGGCUUAAUAGGGAAGCCGGUUCAAAGCCGGCACGGUCCCGCCGCUGUGAUGGGGAGCCGGUUUGCAACAAGCCACUGAAAUAGAACAUUAUUUUGGGAAGGCGCAGACUAGCAAUGAUCCUAAGUCAGAAGAACUGCCUGUUUAACAAUCACCGU